rnacentral:rRNA from 1 species
CCUGAGAAACCCAAAAGAUCGAAUGGGGAGAUUCAUCGUCAGCGACUUUGGCUUCCGUGUGGCUCGCGAUGAUCGGGACCUCGGUCCCGCGUCACGCGGUCGCUGCGGCAUGUCCGGGGUCGUCGGCGUGCACUUCUCCCCUAGUAGGACGUCGCGACCCGUUGGGUGUCGGACCGAUGGCCGUUUGGUCGACUGUCACGUCGCGUUCGCGCGCGCACGGGACAGACCAAUGCGGUCGAACGUCCGACUGCCCGGCGGUAUAGAAAGCUCGAAACUGGGUAUUGAGCCGCAUUAAGUGCGUUCAGGCUCGUCGGCAGGCUAGUCUCGCUCGGAUUUACGGACCUGGUGCCGUUGCCGGGCGCUUGGCGGGCCGUUAGUCGACGAUGUCCUCGGACUGGCUCACUCCUUCACGGGAGAUACCGGUCGGCGACGCUACUGCUUUGGGUACUUUC